rnacentral:lncRNA from 1 species
AGUUCCUCAUCUGGACUCACUGGGAGAAGUGAUUCACUAGAAUUCUCAUUGGAAGAAAUGACAGGAAAGCUCCCUCCAAUAUCUCAAUUUCCACCCCACUCAGUACCUGGUUUUAUGAUUCCACACCCUCCUAAUCCAUCCUGCCCUCCUAACACAUCCCACUCUCGUAAGCCAUCCCACUCUCGUGCCCGCGAAUCCCUCCCUCUUCUUCCAUCUGCCAAGCCCCUUCCUCCUCUCCAGAAGUACGUGGAUUUUUCAGUUUUCUGCCCUAACUGUUAUCCCACUGUGGCUCAUACCUGCCCUCCCCACUACCCUACCCUAAUACUCUACCUGCACUGCUCUUCUGCUAUUCAUUACAAACCAUCCAUUUGUCAAUGCUCUAGUCCCAGAACUCUUUCUGGUAACUCCCUUAUCGAUCACCCUAGCCCUCCUUCUAGCCCUACUGGUCAACGCUUGGGUCCCAGAACUCUUCCCUGUGAUUCCCUUAUCCGUUCUCCUGUUCCUCCUCCUAGCCCUCCUUGCCAACGCUCUGGUCCCAGAACUCUUUUCUGUGACUACCCUGUCUGUCCCCCUACUCCUCCUCCCAGCCCUACUUGCAAAUGCUGUCGUCCCAGAGCUGUUUCCUGGGACUCCUCUACCUAUGCCUCUACCCCUCCUCCUUAGCCCUACUUCUUUCUAGUACCCUGUACUCUAGUCCCCAGCCCCCAGCCCUGCCAUCCCCAACCAGACCUUAUGGUUCACAAGUCUCAUCUUGGAGAUGGUUUCCCUGCUCCCGGGGCAGUUCUGGAACAGUUCAGGAUGGCCAGGACUGUGGAUUCCCAGCAGUCUGACCUCGUGGACAAAGGAAAUGCAAGACGAUGGCAAACCAGCAUUCAGCCUCAUCUGCUCCUUUCCUCCCCUGCCUCAUCAGCCAGCCUGCAUGAGCCUCUACAUUUGUUCCUGGCUUCUCCAUGGAACUCGGUCUACAGCCACAAAGCAAACCACAGGGCCAGUGACAGAGAAGGCAGAGGGGAGUGUGGAGUGGGAAGCACCUAACCUGUUCUCAAGGAGGGGAAUGAUUGGCCAAGAUGAGUUUCAAUCGUAUGUCCACUACCUCCUGGCCUGCCACUUGGCUGUGAGUCCUUUCUGGGCGGUGUCCAGGGGCGGUUCCAGUGAUCAGGCAGGUGCUGAGAAGCACAGGCAGGAUGAGGGGAUACUUGCCAGGAGACAGCAUGGGAUGCCAUUGCCUAGAGUUGGCAGAAGGACCAGGAGCAGGCAGGCAGCGAGAGAACACCCAGAGUGCUCCUGAUCGGACCAAGCUGCAUGGAGGCCACAAUGGGACACCUGAGGGAAAAGGUGACCCCAGAUGAGGUCCAUCGGAACCAGAUAUUGUGGGAACUGUCAAACCAGACCAAGAAGUAUGGAGGCCACAGAGGGACACCCCAGGGAGGUGACCCUGGAUGAGGUUCAUCAGAACUAGAUCUUGUGAGAACUACCUGACCAGACCAAGCAGCACAGAGGCCACGGUGAGACACCUGA